rnacentral:tRNA from 1 species
GCCUUCGUGGUGUAGUGGUCAGCACGCUCGGUGCGUAUUUUAGAGGUCCGUGGUUCGAGUCCUGGCAGGGGCA